UUAAAACAAGAAAUAACUUUAUUUUUAGUUGUUUGAGCUCAUUUAAAUGCUUUUAAAUCUCGAGUUAAGAAAUAGUGUUUUAAAUAAAGCGAGUGGCUAAACGUGGCUGUGUUGAUCAUGUGCUGCAGGUGUCCUGCUCCUUCUGCUCCAGCUGCAGUUCAGUCAGACCAAACCCAUCGACUUCAUCUGUGACCCAGAGGUGAGGAGACGCAUGGAUGUGACGGAGACGCUGGAGCCGCUCAUGACGCACUGCUUGGACCAGCUGCCCUCGGACGUCCUGCAGCCGUGUGUCCGGAUAAACAUGGGAGCGUGGAAACAGACAUCAAUUUCCACACUGACUCCAGAUUGGGACUGCGAGGGUCAUAAAACAUCCAGCUUGACUCAGACGGUGCGUUUCUACAGAAAGCUUCUGCGUGGUCCUGUGGGGCUCCUGAUGAAGGAUCUCACACACAUGUGCACAACACACACAUGAACUCCUGACACACACAACAUACAGAUGCUCAAAGGAUCCGUCUCAGUGCACUGUUACGCCUCUGAACAUCUCCUUAAAGUCAACUUAAAGACGAUUAACGAAAUUCAAGAAGUGAAAAUAAAUAAAUAAAAAUGAUUUGGGAAAAUAACA
ensembl:lncRNA